AUUGAACGCUGGCGGCAGGCUUAACACAUGCAAGUCGAACGAGCGGCGGACGGGUGAGUACUGUCUGGGAAACUGCCUGAUGGAGGGGGAUAACUACUGGAAACGGUAGCUAAUACCGCAUACCAUCAGAUGUGCCCAGAUGGGAUUAGCUAGUGGGUGGGGUAAUGGCUCACCUAGGCGACGCUCCCUAGCUGGUCUGAGAGGAUGACCAGCCACACUGGAACUGAGACACGGUCCAGACGCCUACGGGAGGCAGCAGUGGGGAAUAUGGCACAAUGGGCGCAAGCCUGAUGCCGCCAUGCCUCGUGUGUGAAGAAGGCCUUCGGGUUGUAAAGUACUUUCAGCGAGGAGGCGUUACUCGCAGAAGAAGCACCGGCUAACUCCGUGCCAGCAGCCGCGGUAAUUC
rnacentral:rRNA from 1 species